rnacentral:lncRNA from 1 species
GUGAUUGCUUAAGUGGUUAGGGAGGACAUGUCUACACUGUCUGGAUAAAGAAUGGGAGGCUUGACAAGAUUUGGAAAACCAAAUGUGAAGAAAGAAAGCUACGUGAGCAGGUUGAAGGAGAUUAAGGGGAGCAGCGAAUGCAAAAACAAUUGAAAGGUGUUAUGAGAAAAUUAGAUUAUCCGGGUACUUAAAGGUAGUUUUUU